rnacentral:rRNA from 1 species
UACGUAGGGUGCAAGCGUUGUCCGGAAUUAUUGGGCGUAAAGAGCUUGUAGGCGGUUUGUCGCGUCUGCUGUGAAAUUUCGGGGCUCAACCCCGAACUUGCAGUGGGUACGGGCAGACUAGAGUGUGGUAGGGGAGACUGGAAUUCCUGGUGUAGCGGUGAAAUGCGUAGAUAUCCGGAGGAACACCGGUGGGCGAAGGCGGCUUGCCUGGACCGACACUGACGCUGAGGCGCGAAAGCGUGGGGAGCGAACAGGGAUUAGAUCCCCCG